UGCCAGCCGCCGCGGUAAUUCGGAGGGUGCGAACGUUAAUCGGAAUUACUGGGCGUAAAGCGCGCGUAGGCGGUUAGGUAAGUGGGAUGUGAAAGCCCCGGGCUCAACCCGGGAACUGCAUUGCAAACUGCCGAACUAGAGUAUGGUAGAGGGAGGUAGAAUUUCCUGUGUAGCGGUGAAAUGCGUAGAUAUAGGAAGGAAUACCGGUGGCGAAGGCGGCCUCCUGGACCAAUACUGACACUGAGGUGCGAAAGCGUGGGGAGCAAACAGGAUUAGAUA
rnacentral:rRNA from 1 species